AGAACGAACGCUGGCGGCAGGCUUAACACAUGCAAGUCGAGCGCGCGCUUUCGGGCGUGAGCGGCGGACGGGUGAGUAACGCGUGGGAACGUGCCCUUCGGUUCGGAACAGCCCCGGGAAACUGGGAUUAACGCCGGAUACGCCCGCCAUGGUGACAUGGUUGGGGAAAGUUUACGCCGAGGGAUCGGCCCGCGUCCGAUUAGGUAGUUGGUGGGUAACGGCUCACCAAGCCGACGAUCGGUAGCUGGUUUGAGAGGAUGAUCAGCCACACUGGGACUGAGACACGGCCCAGACUCCUACGGGAGGCAGCAGGUGGGGAAU
rnacentral:rRNA from 1 species